UGAGACGAUUUGGUGAGAAGUUCCAGC
rnacentral:piRNA from 1 species